CCUACGGGGGGCUGCAGUAGGGAAUUUUCGUCAAUGGGCGCAAGCCUGAACGAGCGAUGCCGCGUGAGUGAAGAAGGCCUUCGGGUCGUAAAGCUCUGUUGCGGGGGAAAAAAGGCAGCAUCAGGAAAUGGGUGCUGACUGAUGGUGCCCCGCCAGAAAGUCACGGCUAACUACGUGCCAGCAGCCGCGGUAAUACGUAGGUGGCGAGCGUUAUCCGGAAUGAUUGGGCGUAAAGGGUGCGCAGGCGGAAGAUCAAGUCAGCGGUAAAAUUGAGAGGCUCAACCUCUUCGAGCCGUUGAAACUGGUUUUCUUGAGUGAGUGAGAAGUAUGCGGAAUGCGUGGUGUAGCGGUGAAAUGCAUAGAUAUCACGCAGAACUCCGAUUGCGAAGGCAGCAUACCGGCGCUCAACUGACGCUCAUGCACGAAAGUGUGGGUAUCGAACAGGAUUAGAUACCCGGGUAGUC
rnacentral:rRNA from 1 species